CCCCUAGUAACUGCGAGUGAAGCGGGAAAAGCUCAAAUUUAAAAUCUGGCAGGCAUUUGUCUGUCCGAGUUGUAACCUAGAGAAGUGUAACCUGUGCUGGACCGUGUACAAGUCUCCUGGAAUGGAGCAUCAUAGAGGGUGAGAAUCCCGUCUUUGACAUGGACUACCAGUGCACUAUGGUUGUGCACUCAACGAGUCGAGUUGUUUGGGAAUGCAGCUCUAAAUGGGUGGUAAAUUCCAUCUAAAGCUAAAUAUUGGCGAGAGACCGAUAGCGAACAAGUACCGUGAGGGAAAGAUGAAAAGAACUUUGGAAAGAGAGUUAAACAGUAUGUGAAAUUGUUGAAAGGGAAACGCUUGAAGUCAGCUGUGUUGGCUGGGGAUCAAGCCAGCUUAUUUGCUGGGUGUACUUCCUGGUUGACAGGCCAACAUCAGUUUUGACCAUCAGAGAAAGGCUAAGGGAAUGUGGCACCUUUACAGGUGUGUUAUAGCCCUUGGUUGUAUGUGAUGGAUGGGACUGAGGACAGCAGCGUGCCACAAGGCCGGGUUUCGACCACGUUCACGCUUUGGAUGUUGGCAUAAUGGCUUUAAGCGACCCGUCUUGAAACACGGACCAAGGAGUCUAACAUGCCUGCAAGUGUUUGGGUGGAAAACUCGAGCGCG
rnacentral:rRNA from 1 species